UACGUAGGCAGCAAGCGUUGUUCGGAGUUACUGGGCGUAAAGGGUGUGUAGGCGGUUCUUUAAGUUUGGUGUGAAAUCUCCCGGCUCAACUGGGAGGGUGCGCCGAAUACUGAGGGACUAGAGUACGGGAGAGGAAAGUGGAAUUCCUGGUGUAGCGGUGAAAUGCGUAGAUAUCAGGAGGAACACCGGUGGUGUAGACGGCUUUCUGGGACGGUACUGACGCUGAGACGCGAAAGCGUGGGGAGCGAACAGG
rnacentral:rRNA from 1 species